UUCAUACGUUCCUGUUAAUCUUUGGAUGUGCUGUUGUCCAUGUGUGCUGUGAGUGUCACCACAAACCUGAAUGAAAUGUGUCAGAACUCAAAGAAAUCAAGUUACUCCCAUGACGAGGAGCAGCCCUGCCAAUGCGGACGGACUAAGACGAAGAACAUAAUUACGGAAACGCAUGAAAGCCAGCGCUGGGCCUGAGAUUAAUUAGCUGUAUCCCAUGAAUAAUGAAAAAGAGGGUAUAACACAAAACAGUCACACCAUCUGGUAGAUGAGAGACACACACACACACACACACACACACACACACACACACACACACACACACACACACACACACACACACACACACACACACACACACACACACACACACACACACACACACACAGGUUAAACUCGAAACACCUUUUUUCACUUUCUUUUUGAGCAUUUGAAGACGUAACACGUCAAGUCAUAUUUAAUAAUUUACCUGAUGAAAGCACAAUCAAACCGCCAAAAACACAAUUCACAAUAUCAGAUCAGUAUCACAUCUUUCUUUCUCUGCCUGGAGGAUACAGGGGCUCUAUGUAUGUGUGUCUGUCUGCAUGUUUCUGUCUGUGUGCAUUGGCGUGCAUU